UCCUGGUUAGCUCAGUUGGUAGAGCGCUCCACCAGUAAUGGAGAGGUCCCGGGUUCGAUACCCGGACCAGGCG
rnacentral:tRNA from 1 species